rnacentral:rRNA from 1 species
UACGGGGGGGGGCAAGCGUUGUUCGGAAUUACUGGGCGUAAAGGGCUCGUAGGCGGCCAACUAAGUCAGACGUGAAAUCCCUCGGCUUAACCGGGGAACUGCGUCUGAUACUGGAUGGCUUGAGUGUGGGAGAGGGAUGCGGAAUUCCAGGUGUAGCGGUGAAAUGCGUAGAUAUCUGGAGGAACACCGGUGGCGAAGGCGACAUCCUGGACCACGACUGACGCUGAGGAGCGAAAGCCAGGGGAGCAAAGCGGG